rnacentral:rRNA from 1 species
AUGAACGCUGGCGGUAUGCUUAACCCCUGCCAGUCGAACGGACUCUUCGGAGUUAGUGGCGGACGGGUGAGUCACGCGUGAGAAUCUGGCUUUGGGUUCGGGACAACCACUGGAAACGGUGGCUAAUACCGGAUGUGCCGAGAGGUAAAAGAGAAAUUGCCUGAAGAUGAGCUCGCGUCUGAUUAGCUAGUUGGUGAGGUAAAGGCUCACCAAGGCAGCGAUCAGUAGCUGGUCUGAGAGGAUGACCAGCCACACUGGGACUGAGACACGGCCCAGACUCCUACGGGAGGCGGCAGUGGGGAAUUUUCCGCAAUGGGCGAAAGCCUGACGGAGCAAUACCGCGUGAGGGAAGAAGGCUCUUGGGUUGUAAACCUCUUUUCUUAGGGAAGAACAAAAUGACGGUACCUAAGGAAUCAGCAUCGGCUAACUCCGUG